UGUUUAAUAAUUUAAGAAAAAUAUUAAAUUGCAAAUUUAAUUAUAUUAAUUUACAUUAAUUUAAACUU
rnacentral:tRNA from 1 species